AAACCAACAGGGAUUACCUUAGUAACGGCGAGUGAAGCGGUAAUAGCUCAAAUUUGAAAUCUGGCUCUUUCAGAGUCCGAGUUGUAAUUUGCAGAGGAUGUUUCGGCACUGGCCCCGAGUUAAGUUCCUUGGAACAGGACGCACUAUAGGGUGAGAGCCCCGUAUUUGCUCGGGUGACCUUUGCUAUGUGAAACUCCUUCGACGAGUCGAGUUGUUUGGGAAUGCAGCUCUAAGUGGGAGGUAUAUUUCUUCUAAAGCUAAAUAUUGGCCAGAGACCGAUAGCGCACAAGUAGAGUGAUCGAAAGAUGAAGAGCACUUUGGAAAGAGAGUUAAAAAGCACGUGAAAUUGUUGAAAGGGAAGCUCUUACUGCCAGACUUACUGUAGUUGUUCAGCCUCCGGGUGUAUUCUUCUGCAGUAGGCCAGCAUCAGUUUUAGCGGCCGGAUAAAGAUUUUAGGAAUGUAGCUCUCUUCGGGGAGUGUUAUAGCCUAGAAUGUCAUGCGGCCAGUCGAGACUGAGGAUAGCGUUCGCUAGGAUGCUGGCGUAAUGGCAGUAAGCGAC
rnacentral:rRNA from 1 species